UACAGAGGUGGCAAGCGUUGUUCGGAAUUACUGGGCGUAAAGGGCGCGUAGGCGGUUCGUUAAGUCCUGUGUGAAAUCCCACGGCUCACCCGUGGAACUGCUGGGUAUACUGGCGAUCUUGGGCCAACUAGGGGCAGCUGGAACAAGCGGUGGAGCGGUGAAAUGCGUAGAUAUCGCUUGGAACGCCGAAGGUGAAACAGGCUGCUGGGGUGUGCCGACGCUGGAGACACGAAAGCCAGGGGAGCAAACGGG
rnacentral:rRNA from 1 species